rnacentral:rRNA from 3 species
GGCAAUGGAUAUCUUGGCUCUUGCAUCGAUGAAGAGCGCAGCGAAAUGCGAUACGUGGUGCGAAUUGCAGAAUCCCGUGAACCAUCGAGUUUUUGAACGCAAGUUGCGCCUGAGGCCAUCUGGUUGAGGGCACGUCCGCCUGGGCGUCAUGCAUUAUAUCGCU